AGAGUUUGAUCCUGGCUCAGGACGAACGCUGGCGGCGUGCCUAAUACAUGCAAGUCGAGCGGACCGAACGGGAGCUUGCUCUCGUUUGGUCAGCGGCGGACGGGUGAGUAACACGUGGGCAACCUGCCCGCAAGACCGGGAUAACUCCGGGAAACCGGAGCUAAUACCGGAUAACACCGAAGACCGCAUGGUCUUUGGUUGAAAGGCGGCCUUUGGCUGUCACUUGCGGAUGGGCCCGCGGCGCAUUAGCUAGUUGGUGAGGUAACGGCUCACCAAGGCGACGAUGCGUAGCCGGCCUGAGAGGGUGGACGGCCACACUGGGACUGAGACACGGCCCAGACUCCUACGGGAGGCAGCAGUAGGGAAUCUUCCGCAAUGGGCGAAAGCCUGACGGAGCGACGCCGCGUGAGCGAAGAAGGCCUUCGGGUCGUAAAGCUCUGUUGUGAGGGACGAAGGAGCGCCGUUCGAAGAGGGCGGCGCGGUGACGGUACCUCACGAGAAAGCCCCGGCUAACUACGUGCCAGCAGCCGCGGUAAUACGUAGGGGGCGAGCGUUGUCCGGAAUUAUUGGGCGUAAAGCGCGCGCAGGCGGCCCCUUAAGUCUGAUGUGAAAGCCCACGGCUCACCGUGGAGGGUCAUUGGAAACUGGGGGGGCUUGAGGGCAGGAGAGGAGAGCGGAAUUCCACGUGUAGCGGUGAAAUGCGUAGAGAUUGGUGGAGGACACCAGUGGCGAAGCGGCUCUUCUGGCUGCACUGACGCUGAGCGCGAAGCGUGGAGCAAACAGAUUAGAUACCUGCUAGUCACGCGUAACGAUGAUGCUAGUUGUUAGAGGGUCACACCUUUAAUGCUGCAGCUACGCGAUAGCCUCCGGCUGGGAGUACGCGCAGCUGAAACUCAAGAUUGACUG
rnacentral:rRNA from 1 species